rnacentral:tRNA from 1 species
GGUACCAUAGAGUCGUGGUUAGCACGUCUGCUUUACACGCAGAAAGUCCUGAGUUCGAACCCCAGUGGAGCUA